CCUAUCCUUUAACCCCCCAUGGAAGAAGAAGAAGGUGUUUCCGUACCAUUAUAGAGUGUUCUGUUCUUUAAGAUGAAUUUCCAUUAUCUGGGUUCUUGUAUUUGAAGCUAAUUUAAUAUAAAUGGCGAAACUUUUGGGAUUUUCAAAAGGAGAUUGAGAAAUAGUACAAUAAUGGAAUGUAUUGGAGCUCAGAACAUAGCAGCAAUCACAGUCUCUACGUCCUUUAACUGGAGAUGUAGAACCAGGAGACUGAAAAACAAACAGACUCGUACAUGGCGUAGUAACCGUGAUCCACGCGUGCUGUCUCUUAGAGUAAGGUCGGUUGCCAAUAGUGAAAGUCGCGUCGCGGUAAAAGAAAACUAUGAGGAUGAAGAAGAUUUGAUCAAAGCUGGCGGUUCUGAACUUUUGUUCGUGGAAAUGCAGCAGAAUAAACCCAUGGAUAAUCAGUCUAAACUGGCUGAUAAGUUACCUCAAAUAACAGUUGGUAAUUCUGUAAUGGAUUUGGUAGUCAUUGGUUGUGGUCCUGCUGGUCUUGCUCUUGCUGCUGAAUCAGCUAGAUUAGGUCUGAAGGUUGGACUUAUUGGUCCAGAUCUUCCAUUCACGAACAAUUAUGGUGUGUGGGAGGAUGAAUUCAGAGGUCUUGGACUUGAAAGAUGCAUUGAACAUGUUUGGCCAGAUACAGUAGUGUACCUUGAUGACAGUGAUCCUAUUUUAAUUGGUCGUGCAUAUGGUCGUGUCAGUCGAAAUUUGCUUCACGAGGAACUAUUAAAAAGGUGUACAGAGGCGGGCGUCUCAUAUCUUAGCUCAAAAGUGGAAAGAAUUGUUGAAUCUAGUGAAGGGUAUAGUCUGAUAGAGUGUGACCAAGGUAUCGUUGUUCCUUGCAGGCUUGCUACUGUUGCAUCCGGAGCAGCAUCAGGGAAACUCUUGCAGUAUGAGGUGGGGGGUCCAAGGGUUUCAGUCCAAACAGCUUAUGGUGUAGAAGUCGAGGUAGAAAACAGUCCAUAUGAUCCCAAGCUGAUGGUAUUCAUGGACUACAGAGAUUAUACAAAACGAAAAACUCAGACUUUAGAAGAACAGUAUCCCACAUUUCUUUAUGUCAUGCCCAUGUCACCCACACGAAUCUUCUUUGAGGAAACUUGUUUGGCUUCGAAAGAGGCGAUGCCUUUUGAUCUAUUGAGGAGAAAGCUCAUGUCAAGAUUAGAGACAAUGGGAAUUCGAAUAUUAAAAACUUAUGAAGAGGAAUGGUCCUAUAUUCCAGUUGGGGGAUCCUUACCUAACACAGAUCAAAAGAAUCUUGCAUUUGGUGCAGCUGCCAGUAUGGUCCAUCCAGCCACAGGUUAUUCGGUUGUAAGAUCAUUAUCAGAAGCUCCAAAACAUGCUACAGCAAUAGCAAAUAUCUUGAGGAAUAGUCAUUCGAAGGAAUUGCUUUCCUCUUCCACCACGGCACUGAAUAUUUCUACUCAAGCUUGGAAAAGCCUGUGGCCACAAGAAAAGAAGCGACAACGAGCAUUCUUUCUGUUCGGGCUAGCUCUUAUUUUGCAAUUAGAUAUUGAAGGCAUUCAGACAUUCUUCAAAACUUUCUUCCGUUUACCCAACUGGUGAGAUAAUUAGCUUUAGUUUGGUAGUGUUUUUGUGUUGAAGUGAGUGGCUGAUCAAUGAAAAUUUUGGGCAGGAUGUGGAAGGGUUUUCUAGGGUCGAGUCUGUCGUCAAGAGAUCUGGUAUUGUUUGCCUUUUACAUGUUCGCAAUUGCUCCAAACCAGCUGAGAAUGAGCCUAAUCAAGCAUCUUUUGUCUGACCCUACUGGAGCCACUAUGUUGAGAACAUAUCUCACCAUAUCUGGCUAGCAGCGGAUGUAAACAAACUAUGGAGGAAAUGAAAGAUGGUUUUGACUUACGAGAUAACAAUGGUUUUGACUUACGAGAAUGACUGCGAAGAUAACAUACAUCCCAUUCAAUGAUUAUUAAAUCAAAGAAUUAAAAUGUUCAAGGGGAGACUUUUCAUUUCAUAUUCUAGGCCCUUUCAUUUCAUAUUAUUAGACUUUUCAUUUUAGCUGUUUGGUUUAAUAAUAAAAUACAGGUUUAUUGGAGGAUGUUGUCUAUCUCGAACAAUUUAAACAUAGUCAACUUCAUUAUGACAGUUACAACACAAUAGAAUUGUGUUUUUAUAGUAAUAUGUUUCAAUUUCAUUUUGUUGAUAUUACAUAA